rnacentral:rRNA from 1 species
UACGUAGGUGGCGAGCGUUGUCCGGAUUUAUUGGGCGUAAAGCGCGCGCAGGCGGCGCCGCAAGUCCGGUGUGAAAGCGCCCGGCUCAACUGGGCGAGGUCAUUGGAGACUGCGGUGCUGGAGGGUGGCAGAGGCCGGUGGAAUUCCCGGUGUAGUGGUGAAAUGCGUAGAGAUCGGGAGGAACACCAGUGGCGAAGGCGGCCGGCUGGGCCAUACCU